CGGAGACGUCCUUCGGCUCCGGCGGCGCCGCCGGAGCCCCCGCGCGGAUGGCACAUUCGGGGGAGAUGGAGGAGUCUUGCACGGUGUGCGUGAUGCGAGCGUGGCACUGUGCAGUCCUCAGACGGAGAGAGAGAGAGAGGAGUGGUGAGGGCCCCGCCGGUGCCGGGCUCGGUGGUGGUCAGGGGCGGCCGAGGUCAGCCCUGGUCAGCUCGCCUGCCUGCCUCCUGUCUUUCAGUGGAACGCAGCCCUGGCUGCUGCCUCAGGUGUGUGCGGGUAAUACCAGGAACUGUGAACGACUUUUUGGAAAGAAUGUGAAUAAUUUGGUGUGCACUAUAAAGCCGGGAAGCCCCUGGAUACAAGCAGUGUCGAUAGAAAGCCAGUUUGCUGAAGAGCCACCUGCUAAACUCCACUAGUGUCGUCACUACAGAUCCCUCUACUUAAUCAGAUCCGACUUCAUCGACAGCUUGCUCUGGUUAAUUACCUCAGUGUUUUAACUGAGUGCCUCAAGGUAUUGAUGUGGCUGAUGAGCACUUCAAGCCUCAGAACACUGGAACACUUGGCAGCACUCUGGAGGCAGCUCAUCAAUUUCUAAGAGUUUCCUCAGCUGUUAUUUCCAGUUUCAUUCACUUGUGGACAGAAAAGAUACAUGGUAUGAUUUCAAUUUAUUCAAUUUGUUGAGACUUGCUUUAUGGCCUAGCAUUUGGUCUACCCUAGAGAAAGUUCCUUGCAUGGAUGGAAAGAAUGUGUAUUUGGAAGCUAUGGAAUGAAUGGUCUUUCUAUAUCAAUUAAGGUCAUUUGGUCCAUAGUGUAGACUAGCUCUAUUUUUUAUUUAUUUAUUUUUGCAUCUAGCUGAUCUGUCCAUUGAUGAAAGUGGGGGUUGAAGUCCCCCAUUAUUGUAUUGGAGCCCAGGUCUCCCAUUAGAUCCAUUAAUAUUUGUUUUCAAUAACCACACAAAGUAUCAUUGUGUGCAUAUUCCUUCAUUAUAGUCACAUAGUCUUGUUGAAUUGAACCUCUAAUUAUUUUAUCAGUCUUCUGUCUAUUUUGACAGGUUCCAUGGUAAAGCUUACUCUUUUUCUGAUAGUAGGAUGCAUAUAGACCAAUAGCACUGAGGAGGGUAGACGCAAAAAUCUUCAACAAAAUACUCACUAAUCAAAUCCCACAACACACCAGAAAGAUCAUUCACCUAGAUUAAGUGAGAUUUAUCCCAGGGAUGCAGAGACAGUUCAACAUAUGAAUCCAGAAUAAAAACAAUAAGAUUAUCUCAAUAUAUGCUGAGAAAGCAUUUGAUAAAAGACAUGUUUCAUGAUAAAAAUCUUAAGCAAAUUGGGUAUAGAAGGAACAUCCUUUAAUACAAUCAAGGCAUUGCCAGCAUCAUACUGAAUUGAAAAAGUUGAAAGAAUUUCAACUACGAUCUGGAACCAGAAGUGGAUGCCCACUUUCAUCAUUGCUUUUCAAUAUAGUCCUGGAAGUUUUAGAGCCAUUAGGCAAGAAAAAGAAAUCAGUUGGAUACAAUGAGAAAGAAGGAAGUCAAAUUAUCCCUGUGCAUAUAACAUAAUUCUAUUUAGAGUGGAACCAAAGGAUUCCACCAAGAGACUAUUGGAACUCCUAAGACUACUGGUAAAGUGGCAGGAUAUAAAAUCAACACACAAAAAUCAAUAGCCUUUGUAUACCCAAACAUUGCAAUGGGUGAGAAAGUACUUGUAAGAUAAGUUCCAUUCACAACAGCUACACAAAAUUUAAAAACACUUGAAUAAAUUUAAUCAAGAAUGUGAAAGAUCUCUACAAUGAAGAUUACCAAACAUUAAGCCACUAUAGAAGUCAGUCUGGAGAUUCCUCAGAAACCUGAAUAUAACCCUACCAUACAACCCAGCCAUCCCACUACUUGGAAUUUACCCAGAGGAAAUGAAAUUGGCAAACAAAAAAGCUGUCUGCACAUUAAUAUUUAUUGCAGCUCAAUUCACAAUAGCUAAGACCUGGAACCAACCCAAAUGCCCAUCAACAGUAGGCUGGAUAAAGAAAUUAUGGGACAUGUACUCUAUAGAAUACUAUACAGCAGUAAAAAAAAAAAAAAAAAACGAAAUCCAGUCAUUUGCAACAAGAUGGAGGAAUCUGGAAAACAUUAUGCUGAGUGAAUUAAGCCAGUCCCAAAGGGACAAAUAUCAUAUGUUCUCCCUGAUCGAUGACAACUAACUGAGCACCAAAGGUGAAACUUGUUGAAGUGAAAUGGACACUAUGAGAAACAGUGACUUGAUCAGCUCUUGUCCUGACUGUUGAUGUACAAUGUAAUACUUUAUCCAUUUUAGUAUUUUCUCUUUGUUUUGCUCUAGUACUAUUGGUUGAACUCUGUGAUUAACACACAAUUAUUCAUAGGUGUUUAAAUUAUAACUGAAAAGUGAUCCCUGUUAAAUAUAAGAGUGGGAAUAAGAGAGGGAGGAGAUAUACAAUUUGGGAAAUGCUCAAUAGGACUUGCCCUAAAUGGUGGAGUUAGAAUCAUGCUAGGGGAUCCCAAUACAAUCCCAUCAAGGUAGCAUGUACCAAUGCCAUCUCACUAGUCCAAGUGAUCAAUUUCAGUUCACAAUUGAUCACACUGAUAGGUCUAAGAGUCAAAGGGAUCACACAAACAAGACUAGUGUCUGCUAAUACUAGCUAAUAGAAUCAAAAAGGGAGAACGAUCCAACAUGGGAAGCGGGAUACACAGCAGACUCAUAGAAUGGCAGAUGUCCUAAACAGCACUCUGGCCUCAGAAUCAGCCCUUAAGAUAUUCGGAUAUGGCUGAAGAGCCCAUGAGAGUAUUUUAGGCAUGGAAAUCUAAGACACACUGGAAAAAAAAAAAAGAAGACCUAAAUGGAAGAUCUCUGCGAGUGAGAUCCCAGUGGAAAGAACGGGGCCAUCAAAGAAGAGGGUACCUUUCUCUGAAGGAGGAGAGAACUUCCACUUUGACUAUGACCCUGUGGAAUAAGAUCAAAGUCAGCGAACUCAAAAGGCCUCCAUCACCUUGGCAACUCAUGACUAGAGCCUAGGGAGAUUACUGAUGCCAUUAACAAGAGUGUCAAAUUGUUAAGUCAACAACAGGAGUCACUGUGUAUUUACGUCUCAUGUGGGAUCUGUCCUUAGUGUUGUGCAAAGUGAAGUAAUGCUAUAACUAGUACUGAAACAGUAUUUUACACUUUGUGUUUCUGUGUGAGUGCAAACUGAUCAAAUCUUUACUUAAUACAUGCUAAAUCGAUCUUCUGUAUAUAAAGAUAAUUGAAAAUGAAUCUUGAUGUGAAUGGAAUGGGAGAGGGAGCGGGAGAUGGGAGGAGUUGAGUGGGAGGGAAAAUAAAAAAAAUACACAAUUACUCUUAGGUGUUUAAUUAAUGCUAUAACUAGUAUUCAAAUAGUAUUUUACACUUUGUAUUUCUGUGUGGGUGAAAACUGGAAAUAUUUACUUAAUAUAUGCUAAAUUGAUCGUCUGUAUAUAAAGAUAAUUGAAAAUUUAAAAAAAGAUUACCAAACAUUAAAGAAAAAUAGAAGACACAAAAAAUGGAAAAAAUUUUCCAAUUUUCCAUGUUAAUAUAUCAGAAGAAUUCCUGUCAUCAAAAUAUCCAUACUGUACAAAGGAAUUUAUGGAUUCAUUGUGAUAUAAAUGAAUAUUCCACGAAUAUUCUCAGUUCUAGAAAAAACUGCUAAAAUUAAUAUGGAAACACCAGAGACCCCAACUGAUAAAGCAAUCUUAAACAACAAAAAUAAAACUAAGGAUCUCAGAGUACAGGUUUCAACACAUACUGCAGGUCAGUUAUUUUUAUUAUUUAAAGACAUUUAUUUAUUUGAAAGGCAGAGUUACAUAGAGGCAGAAGUAGAGAGAGAGAGAGGUUCUUCCAUCUGUGGUUCAAUCCCCAAUUGUCUGUAAUGGCCGGAGAUGGGCCGAUCUGAAGCCAAGAGUCAGGAGUUUCCUGAGGCCUUCUCACGUAGGUGCAUGGUCCUUGGGCCAGCUUCCACUGCUUUCCCAGUCCAUAGCAGAGAACUGGAUCAGAAGUGGAGCAGCCAGGACUCGAACUGGUUCCCAUACAAUAUGUUGGCACUGCAGGCUGCGGCUUUACCCAUUAUGCCACAUCUCCAGCCCCCAGGGCAGUUAUUAUUAAAACAACCUGCUACUGCCAUAAAAAUAGACAUUUAGACCAAUAGAACAGUAUAGAAAUUCCAGAAAUGCAUUAAUGCAUCUACAGCCAACUAAUAUUUGAUGAACAAACAAAAAUCAAUCCCUUGAGAAAAGAUAGUCUCUUGAAAGACAGUGUUAGGAAAAUUGGUUCUAUGCAUUCAUAGGUAUGAAACAAGAUCCCUACCUUACGCCUUACACAAACAUCAACCCACAGUGGAUAAAGGAUGGAAAUCUAUGGCCUGGUAACAGCAAACUACUAGAGGAAUGAAAACUUGGGCAAACUCUGCAAGACAUCGGCAUAGGCAAAGAUUUCUUGGAAAAGACCCCAGAAACAUAGCCAAUAAAAGCAAAAAUAGACAAAUGUGAUUGCAUCAUUAAGAACCUUCUGCACUGCAAAGGUAAUAUUCAACGAAGUGAGGAAGCAACUAACAGAAUGGGAGAAAAUAGUUUUAACCUAUGAAACUGAUAAAGGAUUAAUAUCCAGAAUCUAAAAAGAUCUCAAGAAAUUUAGCAACAGAAGAAAUAAUCCAGUUAAGAAAAGGGCGAAGAACAAGAGUAAGCAAUUUUCAAAAGAUAAAAUAAAAAAGGCUAACAAAAACAUGAAAAAAAAAUUGUAUCACUAGCCAUCAGGGAAAUGCAGAUGAAAGCCAUAAUGAGGUUUCACCUCACUCGAGUUAGAAUGGCUAUCAUCCAAAAAUCAAAAAAAAAAAAGAAUAAAUACAAUGAAUUCUGGUGAGAUUGUGGGGGAAAAGGUACUCUAAUCCAGUGUUGGCUAGAAUUUAAACUAGUAUAGUUAUUGUGGAAGACAGUAUGGAGCUUCUUCAGACAUCUGAAAAUAGACUUACUGUAUGACCCAGCCAUCCCACUCCUUGGAAUUUACCCAAAGGAAAUGAAAUCACCAAAUGAAAGUGUUAAUUUUUUCAUCAUGUUUACUGAACCUCAUACCAAUUAGAAAGAAUAUCAUCCAAAGAUGGGAAAAAAAAUUGUUGGUAAGGAUGUGGGCAAUAAGAUUCCCUGAUGCACUGUUGGUAGAAAUGGAACGAGUACAAUCAUUUCAAAAGACAGAAUGUAGAUUCCCCAGAAAUCUGAAAUAGACCUAUCAUAUGACCCAGCCAUCCCACACCUGGGAAUUUAUUCAAAGUAAAUGAAAUAAGCAUAUGAAAUAUGUAAUUGUACCCUCAGGUUUAUUUUUGCUCAAUUCACAAUAAGAAAGAUAUGUAAUAAACCCAGAUGUCUGCCAACUGAUGACUGGAUAAUGAAAACGUAGAAUACUACUCAGCCAUAAAUAUUCUUUUCUUUUGCAACAAAAUGCAUGUAACUAGAAACUAUUAUGCUUAGUUAGAUAAGUCGUUCCCAGAAAGACAAAUAUCAUACCUUUUUUGAUAUGUGGUAAUUAGUACAGAAAUAAAAAAUAUAUAUAGGGAUAAAAAGGACACCUUGUGAUUGGGGAGUGUUUUUGGCUCUUUCUUUAUUCCGAUGGAACUGUGGUCUUUCUACUUUUUAUGUUGAAUAUUAUGAUUAGUGGCUUGUUAAGCUAGUGAUUAUGGAGUGCACUAAAAUCAUGCUUUUUGAAAAAUUAAAGGAAAAAAAUAAAAGAAAAAAGAGAGGAGUUGACAGUGGGAGAGAAUAAGAGCGGAAAUAUGCUUAUCUUCUGAGAAUUGUACCUAAGAAAUCCAUGAAAUAUGUUCUCUUAAUAUUAAUAAAAAUUUUAAAUGGUCUAAAAUCAGAUAACUUCCAUGAUUACAAAUAUGUAAUGAACUGUUUCAUACAGAAUCUGCAUUCCAGGUCUCUCCAGUACAACAGGAAAUGACUUAUAUGACACAUACUAAAUAACUAUUGGAUGUUAAAAAAAAUUGAGAACUAUCAAAGAAGGUUUGAUAGAAGUAUUCAAAGUGAAAAAAAGGACUAGAAACUGUUAGAAGAAAUAAAAGCAAACCAGGUAUGCUGUAAGUGAAUAUACUGGUCAUUGAGUUAAUUAAAAAAACUAAAUAAAAACAAAACAAACCAAAACGACUAACAGAUAAAUCAAAUUAGGAUGACACAUAACGUAAAACAUAAUAAAUUAAUUGGAAAAGUGAAGAAAAUUUGAGAAAAAGAAAGUGAAUCAUGGAAAAUUAGGCUUGACAAUACAAACACAUGUAAUGUUUUGGUCUUUGAAUCCAUAUUUUUCAUGGACUUUGAAGGUAACUAAAAUAACUUUCGAAUAUUUUUCUCUCAAUAAUUUCCCUUGCCAUUUUCUUUUUUUCUAAAAAUGAAAUUAUUUAUUUGAAAGGCAGAAAGGGAAGGAAGGAGUGAAAAAGGUAAAGAGGAGAGAGAGAGAGUGAAAGAGAGAGAGAGAGAGAGAAUCUUCCAUUCAUAGGUUCACUCAACAAAUGGUAGCAAGGGCUGGUGCUGGGCUGAUCUGAAGCCAGGAGCUAGAAGUUUCUUCCAGGUCUCCCACAUGUUUUCAGGGGCCCAAGGAUUUAGGCUAUCUUAGACUGCUUUCCCAGGUGCAUUAAAAGGGAAUUGAGUCAGAAGGGGGGCACCUGGGACUUGAGCCAGCCCCAAAGGAAUACUGUUGCCACAGGCAGAGGAUUUAAUCUCUCUGCCACAGCACAGGCUCCUUAUCCUCACUAUUUCAAAACUGUACAUUUAAAAAAAUAUUGCUAAUGUUAACACUGAAAUAAUAGUGUCAUAAAAGAAAGUGAGGCUGAUCACUUGAAUUGUCUAUUAGUAUUUUUUCUAAGAUGUCAUUCUCCUUGAGAAUUCUUUGCAAGUAUCUUCACUGAAUGGAGUAACUUAUCACAGAGUUAAAAGAAGGGAAUAAGAAAAUAUAACUCAAAACAGCAGGUGUCUGGAGUGAUGUCAGUCAAAUUCUACACUCUUGAGGAAAUGAAAAUUUAAAAGACUUGUCUACAGGCAUUUUAAUUUGCUAAUAAUCUAAGUUGCAUAAAAUUGAUAACAAGAUAUAUCAAUUCUUCAUAUAAGAAAUAGUUCUUAAGGACAUUUAAUUUUUAGCAUUUGACAUAAAGAAUGAAGAAUAUAUAAUAUGUUGACAAAAUAGAUAAUAAGUAAGGAAUAUUUUAUACAAAAUAAGUGAGUUGUAAUGACAUUCUGAGUAAUGGCACAGAAUCUGAAUUAGACUGGGCAGGGUUAUUUACUGAUACUAGACACAAGGGGGACAUGUAAUGUUGAAAUAUGAAGACUAUUGAAAUGGGGAGUGUAGCUUUGAAAGAAAAUCUAAGAGGAAGAGAUAAAAUUAAGUACUGAGCACAGAAAAUAAAAUAAGAAAGCAGACAACCAAGAAGAUCUAGCACUUACAAAACAAUACCAAAACUGUGCAUAGAGAACAGUUAAGGAAGUGAUUUUUUGGGGGGAAUUCUUUAUUUUCUUUGAGGAGUCACAAAAAUGAAGAUGAUGUUAGGGAUUUAAUAAUGUAGUUGGUAUCUAAAGACUCAUGACUUUUGAAACACCAAAGCUUUACAUAGCACAAAACAUUAUGAGAAUAAUAACAAGGCAUAGCAUUAUAAAAUCUUCUAAAAAUCAAAGCAGAGAGAAAUCUGGGUAAAUACAGAUACUGGAAAUAGUAAGUAUGGGGAUACAAAUAUAUUACGUCCUUAUUUUAGUUUUUUAAGAAAAAUAAUUGGCCAUUUGAAACAAGAGGUGAAAAUUUUUUGAGGGACUUAUAAGAAGUAGCCAUGAAAUGAGUUACUGGCAUGAUAUAGAAGCUGAGAAGAAAAGGAAGUAUAGUGCUACAAAAUUACACAUGAAGGUUUAUAAUACUGCUGGAAGUAGAACAUAUGUCAGUGACUAUUGUGAAGCACAAAUCAAUCAGUUUAAAUUUUUCUAAUUGCAACUUAUUUUUAAUGAAUAAAAAUAAGGUGAGCAAAUUUCAUGUAUUUCAUAUAUGCAGAUUUAGAGAAACAGUUUAACUUCCCUCCCAACCCUCCCCCUGCCUAUGCUCCUAUCCGCCUUCCUCCUUCUUUUCUUAUUCUUUAAAUUUUUACAAUGACAUACUUUCUGAUUAUUUUAUAAACAUAAUAUUAACUCUCCACAAAAUAAAGAAUUCAGCAAAUAUUAAUAAGAAAAAAAAAGCACUGUUCCUCAACACUAGAGACAGGGCUGUAAACAAUAAUGAAUUCUCAAAAUGUCAAUUUCAUUAAUAUACAUUCCAUUUUUGAACUCUAUUAGUUACCACAGAUCAAGGAAAAUGUAUAGUGUUUGUCUUUGGGGACUGGCUUAUUUUACUAAGUAAAUGAUUUCUAUUUGCAUCCAAUUUGUUGUGAAAGUCAAAGUCAAGAUUUUGUUCUUUUUUAUGGAUAAGUAGCAUACUGUAGUGUGUGUGUAUGUGUGUGUGUGUGUGUGUGUGUGUGUCACAUUUUCUUCAUACAAUCAUCAGUUGCUGAACAUCUGGGUUGAUUCCAUAUUUUAGCUUUUGUGAAAUGAGCUGCAAUGAAUGUGGAGACACAGAUACUUUUUUCAUAUGCUGACUUCAUUUCCUUUGAGUAAAUUCAAAGGAGUGGGAUGGUUGGUUCAUAUGGUAGAUCUAUUUUCAGAUGUUUGAAGAAGCUCCAUACUGUCUUCCAUAGUAACUGUGCUAGUUCACAUUUCAGCCAGCGAUGGAUUUGGAUACCCUUUUCUCCACAUACUCACCAGCAUUGAUUGAUUGUUGAUUUUUUUUAUGAAAGCCAUUCUAAGUGGGUUGAGGUGAAAUUUCAUUUUGGUUUUGAUUUCCAUUUGCAUUUCACUGAUGGCUAGCAAUCCUGAGCAUCUUUUCUUUUGUCUUUUGAUCAUUUAAAUUUCAUCUCUAUCUUUUUUUUGGUUCACCCUCCAAUGGCCGCCGUGGCUGGCGCGCUGCGACCGGCGCACCGCGCCUAUCGGAAGGCAGGAGCCAGGUGCUUCUCCUGGUCUCCCAUGGGGUGCAGGGCCCAAGGACUUGGGCCAUCCUCCAUUGCACUCCCAGGCCACAGCAGAGAGCUGGCCUGGAAGAGGGGCAACCGGGACAGAAUCCGGUGCCCCGACCGGGACUAGAACCCGGUGUGCUGGUGCCGCAAGGCGGAGGAUUAGCCUAGUGAGCCACGGCGCUGGCUACAUUUCAUCUCUUAAAAAGUGUCUAUUCAUGUCCUUAGCUUAUUACUUAACAUUGUUUUUUUGUUGUUGAGUUUCUUGAGCUAUUUAUGGAUUCUGGAGAUUAAUUCUUUAUCAGUUUCUUAGUUUACAAAUAUUUUCUUCCAUUCUGUCACUUGCUUCUUCACAUUAUUGAGUAUUUCUUUUGCUGUGCAGAAGCUUCUCAGCUUGAUGUUAUCCCAUUUUUCUAUUUUUGCUUUCAUUGCCUGUACUUCUGGGGCCUUUUCCAAGAAGUCUUUGCCUAUGCCAAUGUCUUGCAGAGUUUCCCUUGUGUUCUCCUCUAGUACUUUCAUGGUAUCAGGUUGUAGAUUUAGGUCCUUAAUCCAUUUGGAGUUCAUUUUUACACAAGGGGUAUAAGGUAGGAGUCUUGUUUCAUACUUCUGCACAGAGAGAUCCAAUUUUCCCAGUACCAUUGCUUGAAAGACUGUCCUUUCACAAACAAUUGAUUUUAGCUCAUUUGUCAAAGAUUAGCUAGUUGUAGAUAUAUGGAUUGAUUUCUGGGGUUUCUACUCUGUUCCAUUGGUCUAGAUGUUCUAUUUUUGUGCCAGUAGCAGGGUGUUCUGAUUAUAACGGCCCUGUAGUGGGUCUUGAAGUGUGGAAUUGUGAUGCUUUUGGCUUUGUUUUUGUUGAUUAUGAUUGUUUUAGGUGUUCAAGGUCUCUUAUGUUUAUAUAUGAAUUUUAACAUCAUUGGUUUCUAGAUUUGAGAAGAAUGUCAUUGAUAUUUUAUUUGGGAUCUCAUUGAAUGUGCAAAUUGCUUUUGGUAUUAUGGACAUUUUGUUGAUAUUAAUUCUUUCAAUCUACAUACAUGGAAUAUUCUAAGGAAUUAAAAGAAAGCAGGGGCUAUUGUCAAAUGCUGAUGUCAUGUAAGAAAGGAAUGAAAGUGUGGGAAAUGAAUUUUGGGAAAAUAUUAAUGUGAAUGAAUAUUGAGUUUAAUCACUAGAUACUCAUUGUUGUCUUUUAAUAGAGUAUUUUCUGGAGUUAUAUGACAUUUUAGUAUUUUAGUUAAAAUGCUAUGUAAAUUGCCAUCCCAAAAUACAUUUCUCUAGUCUUUCUGGAUAUGUAGGUGCUCAUAACAACUAGUGAGGCACAGAAAUGUUGUCUUUUAUUUAUAACAUUGUAUUUUAGAUCUUCUCAUUAUUACAACAUAAACCUUGCAUUUUAGAUCUACUCAUUAUUACAACAUAAACUUAAGUCUAGGUAAAGAGCUGUCAGUGUUUUCUGCUACUCAUUAUUGCAACAUAAACUUAAGUCUAGGUAAAAGAGCUGUAAGUGUUUUCUGCUACUCAUUAUUACAACAUAAACUUAAGUCUAGGUAAAAGAGGAGCUGUUAGUGUUUUCUGCUAUGGCAAAAACCAAGAUAUGUGGCAUCGCUACAGUGGGAAAGCAGCAUGGAAACAUAAUGUUUAGAAAGCUUGUCACCCUUGUUAUGCAAUCAUGGUUGAUAAAUGGCUGUCUUUGAUAAAUUGUAAAGCAGAACAUGUGGUUACUGAGCCUGUGUUGCUGGAAAUAUUUAUAAAGAAUCACAAUGUGCAUGUAUAUGGCCUGAUUUUUGAUGCUGUAUGCAAAUUACUAGUAAUGGAGAUAACCUCAGGCAAGAUUUGACUUACUUUCAAAACCAGAUGGCUUACAUUUAAAACCUUUGUGGGGUUGGAAAAUCCAACUCAUAUCCUUGUAUUUCUUUAAAACAAGAAGAUAAAAUAAUGUUACUCAGAGAACUUUUAUCAAUAUUUCUGAUUAAGAUUCUUCAGAAUAAAAUGUAUUUAAACAUAUCAAAUUUCAGAUUGUGAGUGUUGUCUCUCAUACCAGUGUCUUGUGUAGUUCUUUAUGUUAUCAGCAAUAAAAUGAGUUUGGGAGAAAUAGGAAUGUUGAAUUUCAGCAGUUUAACUUUUAUCCUAAUUAGCAACUUAGAAAAAUAUGAGAUGUUUGUUAUUACCUUGAAGUUCAUUGGGUAAAUAGAGUCUUUAUGUAAAAACAGAUAUUCUACUAAUCCUUAAUUAGAAUGCAUAACGAGAGAAACGGAUUGUGUGGAAAUAACUCACUUAUGACCUUUCUUCACAUAGAUCCUCAUAAGCUUAGGAAGGGAGAUAUCAAAAUUAUGAUCAUAAGUAGGUUUAGAUAGUCAUAUUAAUGCAUAUUGUUGAUAUCUUUUCCAAUGAAGAUAUUUUAAUAGUUCAUGAAUAAUGUUAUUAUGAAAAAUUAUGCAUAUAUUUCUGUUUUUUCUAAAAUAUAAAC